rnacentral:rRNA from 1 species
UACGUAGGGUGCGAGCGUUGUCCGGAAUUAUUGGGCGUAAAGAGCUCGUAGGCGGUCUGUCGCGUCGGAUGUGAAAACCCAGGGCUCAACCCUGGGCCUGCAUUCGAUACGGGCAGACUAGAGUGUGGCAGGGGAGACUGGAAUUCCUGGUGUAGCGGUGAAAUGCGCAGAUAUCAGGAGGAACACCGGUGGCGAAGGCGGGUCUCUGGGCCAAUACUGACGCUGAGGAGCGAAAGCGUGGGGAGCGAACAGG